rnacentral:rRNA from 1 species
AAGAUUAAAACUCAAAUGAAUUGACGGGGGCCCGCACAAGCGGUGGAGCAUGUGGUUUAAUUCGAUGCAACGCGAAGAACCUUACCUACUCUUGACAUCCAGAGAAGCCAGCGGAGACGCAGGUGUGCCUUCGGGAGCUCUGAGACAGGUGCUGCAUGGCUGUCGUCAGCUCGUGUUGUGAAAUGUUGGGUUAAGUCCCGCAACGAGCGCAACCCUUAUCCUUGUUUGCC